UACGAAGGGGGCUAGCGUUGCUCGGAAUCACUGGGCGUAAAGCGCACGUAGGCGGAUCGUUAAGUCGGGGGUGAAAUCCUGGAGCUCAACUCCAGAACUGCCUCCGAUACUGGCGAUCUUGGAGUCCGGGAGAGGUGAGUGGAACUCCGAGUGUAGAGGUGAAAUUCGUAGAUAUUCGGAAGAACACCAGUGGCGAAGGCGGCUCACUGGCCCGGUACUGACGCUGAGGUGCGAAAGCGUGGGGAGCAAACAGG
rnacentral:rRNA from 1 species